GGGCGAGUCGUCUAGGGGUUAGGACGUUGCUCUCACACGGCAAAGAGUAUUCUCGCUGAAAGGUCGAGGGUUCAAAUCCCUCCUCGCCCA
rnacentral:tRNA from 1 species